UACGUAGGGUGCAAGCGUUGUCCGGAAUUAUUGGGCGUAAAGAGCUCGUAGGCGGUUUGUCGCGUCUGCUGUGAAAACCCGAGGCUCAACCUCGGGCCUGCAGUGGGUACGGGCAGACUAGAGUGCGGUAGGGGAGAUUGGAAUUCCCGGUGUAGUGGUGAAAUGCGUAGAUAUCGGGAGGAACACCAGUGGCGAAGGCGACUACCUGGCCUGUUCUUGACGCUGAGGCGCGAAAGCUAGGGGAGCAAACGGG
rnacentral:rRNA from 1 species